rnacentral:rRNA from 1 species
UCCUGGCUCAGAACGAACGCUGGCGGCGUGCCUAACACAUGCAAGUCGGACGAGAAAGGGGUUUCGGCCCUGAGUAAAGUGGCGCACGGGUGAGUAACACGUAGGUAACCUGCCUCUAUGACUGGGAUAACCCGUCGAAAGAUGGGCUAAUACCGGAUAAGACCACGGGUACGGAGGUAUUUGGGGUCAAAGGUAGCCUCUAUAUAUAAGCUAUUGCAUAGAGAUGGGCCUGCGCACCAUUAGCUAGUUGGUAGGGUAACGGCCUACCAAGGCAAAGAUGGUUAGCUGGUCUGAGAGGAUGAUCAGCCACACUGGAACUGAGACACGGUCCAGACUCCUACGGGAGGCAGCAGUGGGGAAUAUUGCGCAAUGGGCGAAAGCCUGACGCAGCAACGCCGCGUGAGUGAUGAAGGCCUUCGGGUCGUAAAGCUCUGUCGGGGGGAACGAAUGUUUCUGGGGUUAACAGCCCUGGGGAGUGACGGUACCCUCAAAGGAAGCACCGGCUAACUCUGUGCCAGCAGCCGCGGUAA